rnacentral:ncRNA from 1 species
UAAAAAACGUUGAAAGGGAGAGUAUCUUGAACUUCCUAUCGUGUUAGAGAGGAAAUGCCUCGGCUGUAAGCAUUUCCCACGACUGUUCUGGAGAAAACCACCCUUGAGUGUUGGGCCGAAAUAAGUAAGUUCAGCCGUUUCCCGCGUUAAGGGUAAUCAAGUGAAAGGAAUUAAUCGCCUUUCAAUUGGGUGGAACCACGGGAGUAAGCUCUCGUCCCUAUU